rnacentral:rRNA from 1 species
AGCGAACGCUGGCGGCAGGCCUAACACAUGCAAGUCGAACGGACCCUUCGGGGUUAGUGGCGGACGGGUGAGUAACACGUGGGAACGUGCCUUUAGGUUCGGAAUAGCUCCUGGAAACGGGUGGCAAUGCCGAAUGUGCCCUUCGGGGGAAAGAUUUAUCGCCUUUAGAGCGGCCCGCGUCUGAUUAGCUAGUUGGUGAGGGAAUGGCUCACCAAGGCGACGAACAGUAGCUGGUCUGAGAGGAUGACCAGCCACAUUGGGACUGAGACACGGCCCAAACUCCUACGGGAGGCAGCAGUGGGGAAUCUUGCGCAAUGGGCGAAAGCCUGACGCAGCCAUGCCGAGUGAAUGAUGAAGGUCUUAGGAUUGUAAAAUUCUUUCACCGGGGACGAUAAUGACGGUACCCGGAGAAGAAGCCCCGGCUAACUUCGUGCCAGCCGCCGCAGUAAGAC